rnacentral:rRNA from 1 species
AUUGCCCUACGGGGCGCAGCGGUGGGGAAUAUUGGGCAAUGGGCGCAAGCCUGACCCAGCAACGCCGCGUGAAGGAAGAAGGCUUUCGGGUUGUAAACUUCUUUUAUCAGGGACGAAGCAAGUGACGGUACCUGAUGAAUAAGCCACGGCUAACUACGUGCCAGCAGCCGCGGUAAUACGUAGGUGGCAAGCGUUAUCCGGAUUUACUGGGUGUAAAGGGCGUGUAGGCGGGAGUGCAAGUCAGAUGUGAAAACUAUGG